CAGUCGCCGCGGUAAUACGAAGGGGGCUAGCGUUGCUCGGAGUUACUGGGCGUAAAGGGAGCGUAGGCGGAUGUUUAAGUCAGAGGUGAAAGCCCAGGGCUCAACCUUGGAACUGCCUUUGAUACUGGACAUCUUGAGUGUGGGAGAGGUAAGCGGAACUCCGAGUGUAGAGGUGAAAUUCGUAGAUAUUCGGAAGAACACCAGUGGCGAAGGCGGCUUACUGGCCCAUUACUGACGCUGAGGCUCGAAAGCGUGGGGAGCAAACAGGAUUAGAUACCCCAGUAGUCCCUGUCUCUUAUAC
rnacentral:rRNA from 1 species